GCAAGAAGAAGUGGAUACAAAACAUUGAGGAGCUUGGACAGGAGAGGGCCGACAUGUCACCUCCUGAGGGAGUAACUCAAGAGGUGUGGAGUGACUGCAUCGCUUAUUGGAGCACAGACAAACAAAAGGCGAGAGCAGCGAAAAAUAAAGAAAGUCGGGGUAAGAUGAAAUUUCUAGGAGGCUGGGGCUCCAAGCCUAUUGUUUCACAUGUUGUCGAGGGGGCUAACCCCGACACAGGAGAACUGCCAACUGCGGUGGAAACUUU